GGAGGAUUCAAGCGUUAUCCGGAUUUAUUGGGUUUAAAGGGUGCGUAGGCGGUCGGAUAAGUUAGAGGUGAAAUCCCGAGGCUCAACUUCGGAAUUGCCUCUAAUACUGUUGAUCUAGAGAGUAGAUGCGGUAGGCGGAAUGUAUGGUGUAGCGGUGAAAUGCUUAGAGAUCAUACAGAACACCGAUUGCGAAGGCAGCUUACCAAUCUAUAUCUGACGUUGAGGCACGAAAGCGUGGGGAGCA
rnacentral:rRNA from 1 species